GCAAGUUCGAACGGACAUCUUCGGAUGUUAGUGGCGAACGGUCGCGUAACACGUAAGCAACCUGCCCUAAAGUGGGGGAUAACAAUCCGAAAGGAUUGCUAAUACCGCAUGUGAACAUUUAGUCGCCUGACUUUAUGUUUAAAGAUUUAUCGCUUUAGGAUGGGCUUGCGGCCUAUCAGGUAGUUGGUGGGGUAAUGGCCUACCAAGCCUUUGACGGGUAGCUGGUCUGAGAGGACGAUCAGCCGGAUUGGGACUGAGAUACGGCCCAGACUCCUACGGGGGGCAGCAAUUAGGAAUCUUGCGCAAUGGACGAAAGUCUGACGCAGCGACGCCGCGUGAGGGAUGACGGCCUUCGGGUUGUAAACCUCUUUUAUCAGGGAAGAAGAAUGUGACGGUACCUGAUGAAUAAGCCCCGGCUAACUACGUGCCAGCAGCCGCGGUAAUACGUAGGGGGCGAGCGUUGUCCGAAGUUACUGGGCGUAAAGCGCACGUAGGCGGUUAUCUAAGUCUGGGGUGAAAGGUUCAGUGCUUAACGCGAACAGUGCCUUGGAGACUGGAUGACUUGAGUUUGGGAGAGGGUAGUGGAAUGGCUGGUGUAGCGGUGAAAUGCGUAGAUAUCAGUCGGAACACCAAUGGCGAAGGCAGCUACCUGGCCUAAAACUGACGCUGAGGUGCGAAAGCGUGGGGAGCGAACGGGAUUAGAUACCCCGGUAGUCCACGCCGUAAACGAUGAGUGCUAGGUGUCGGGGGUAUC
rnacentral:rRNA from 1 species